AUUGAACGCUGGCGGAAUGCUUUACACAUGCAAGUCGAACGGCAGCACGGGGGCAACCCUGGUGGCGAGUGGCGAACGGGUGAGUAAUACAUCGGAACGUGCCCAGUCGUGGGGGAUAACGUAGCGAAAGCUACGCUAACACCGCAUACGAUCUGUGGAUGAAAGCGGGGGACCGUAAGGCCUCGCGCGAUUGGAGCGGCCGAUGUCAGAUUAGGUAGUUGGUGGGGUAAAGGCUCACCAAGCCGACGAUCUGUAGCUGGUCUGAGAGGACGACCAGCCACACUGGGACUGAGACACGGCCCAGACUCCUACGGGAGGCAGCAGUGGGGAAUUUUGGACAAUGGGCGCAAGCCUGAUCCAGCAAUGCCGCGUGCAGGAAGAAGGCCUUCGGGUUGUAAACUGCUUUUGUACGGAGCGAAAAGGCUCUCUCUAAUACAGGGGGCUCAUGACGGUACCGUAAGAAUAAGCACCGGCUAACUACGUGCCAGCAGCCGCCGUAACAC
rnacentral:rRNA from 1 species